rnacentral:tRNA from 2 species
GCAUUAAUGGGGUAGUGGUAACCUGGGUCGUUGCCAUCUGCGCUUGCUCGACCCGCCGGGGGUUCGAUUCCCUCUUAAUGCA